rnacentral:rRNA from 1 species
CCUACGGGAGGCUGCAGUGAGGAAUAUUGGUCAAUGGACGAGAGUCUGAACCAGCCAAGUAGCGUGAAGGAUGACUGCCCUAUGGGUUGUAAACUUCUUUUAUAUGGGAAUAAAAUGUUCCACGUGUGGGAUUUUGUAUGUACCAUAUGAAUAAGGAUCGGCUAACUCCGUGCCAGCAGCCGCGGUAAUACGGAGGAUCCGAGAGUUAUCCGGAUUUAUUGGGGUUAAAGGGAGCGUAGGUGGAUUGUUAAGUCAGUUGUGAAAGGUUGCGGCUCAACCGUAAAAUUGCAGUUGAAACUGGCAGUCUUGAGUACAGUAGAGGUGGGCGGAAUUCGUGGUGUAGCGGUGAAAUGCUUAGAUAUCACGAAGAACUCCGAUUGCGAAGGCAGCUCACUGGACUGCAACUGACACUGAGGCUCGAAAGUGUGGGUAUCAAACAGGAUUAGAUACCCCAGUAGUC